rnacentral:lncRNA from 1 species
GAGGCUGUAUGCCUCAAUGAGAUAGGAAGAUAUAUCUGCAUCUGUCCUCAAGUAUAUUCUGGUGUGAACUGUGAGUUGGAAAUUGAUGAAUGUGGAUCCUAGCCAUGUCUACAUGGUGCCAUGUGUCAGGAUGCUCUUGGGGCUUACUUCUGUGACUAUGUAUCUGGAUUCUUUGGAGACCAUGGUGAAUUCAACUCUGAUUAUUUACUAGUCAGGCACAUUUCCAUGGAGGUCUAUAUGUGGAUGGAGGAAAUAAUGAUCACUGUGUCUGCAUAGGGAGUGGAUUCACAGAGACACACUGUGAGAUUCUGAUGCUUCAUUGUUGGUCAAGGCCUUGUCACAGUGAUACAACAUAUGAAGACACCAUUGACAGCUGUAUUUGUCACUGCUGGCCUAAAUACACAGGUGCCCUGUGUGAGACAGACAGAAAUGAAUGCAGGAGCAACCCCUGCCAAUUUGGGGGAGGAGGAUGUGCUGAACUGUUCUCAGAAGAUAUAUUAGAAAACACUGAUUGCUUACCUUCCUCCUUCAAGUACUUUGGAGCCUCAGGCUAUGUUUGUAUCUGUCAGACUAGAUUC